UACGUAGGCAGCGAGCGUUGUUCGGAAUUACUGGGCGUAAAGAGUGUGUAGGCGGUGCUCUAAGUUCGGUGUGAAAUCUCCUGCUUAACUGGGAGGGUGCGCCGGAAACUGGAGUGCUUGAGCGUGGGAGAGGAAAGCGGAAUUCCUGGUGUAGCGGUGAAAUGCGUAGAUAUCGGGAAGAACACCCGUGGCGAAGGCGGCUCUCUGGAACGCAACUGACGCUGAGACGCGAAAAGCGUGGGGAGCAAACGGG
rnacentral:rRNA from 1 species